rnacentral:rRNA from 1 species
CACGUAGGGUGCGAGCGUUGUCCGGAAUUAUUGGGCGUAAAGAGCUCGUAGGCGGUCCGUCACGUCGGAUGUGAAAUUCCAGGGCUCAACCCUGGACCUGCAUUCGAUACGGGCGGACUAGAGUUCGGUAGGGGAGACUGGAAUUCCUGGUGUAGCGGUGAAAUGCGCAGAUAUCAGGAGGAACACCGGUGGCGAAGGCGACUUCCUGGCCUGUUCUUGACGCUGAGGCGCGAAAGCUAGGGGAGCAAACGGG